rnacentral:rRNA from 1 species
GGAAGUAAAAGGUCGUAACAAGGUUUCCGUAGGUGAACCUGCGGAAGGAUCAUUAAAGAAAUGAGGCGAAGGGGCCCUUGGGCCCCGGGACCGACACGUUCUACCCUGUCCUUUAGAUACCUCUACCUCCUCCCCGGCCAAGUGCCGGGCUGGCUACUUGAAAAAACCUUGCAGUUUACAGUCAAUUCAGUACAAAAACAAACAAAAUUACAACUUUCAACAAUGGAUCUCUUGGCUCUGGCAUCGAUGAAGAACGCAGCGAAAUGCGAUAAGUAGUGUGAAUUGCAGAAUUCAGCGAAUCAUCGAAUCUUUGAACGCACAUUGCGCCCUUCGGUUAUUCCUUAGGGCAUGCCUGUUCGAGCGUCAUUUCAACCUUCAAGCCCCGCUUGGUGUUGGGCGCUGUCCCGCCUCUGCGCGAGGACUCGCCCCAAAUGAAUUGGCAGUCGCACCCCCGAUACGCGAGCGCAGCAAAGUCGCGCGAGCCGAACCGGCAGGGACGGACGCUCCACGAGACCCACCACAGUCUUGACCUCGGAUCAGGUAGGGAUACCCGCUGAACUUAAGCAUAUCAUUAAGCGGAGGA